rnacentral:lncRNA from 1 species
AGCCAAACGUUAAAAAAUACCCAUUUAUCAGACAACGCUGAAAGUAGUACUUCCUCAGUUUACAAAUAUAAGAUGUUCUUACUUUGUCGUAAGUCAGAAAUUUUGACCAAAUUUGUAAAAACUCUACUUCCUCUGUCCAACAAAGGAUGUCUCAACUUUAACAAAAUUUGAAGAUGGAAGGAGUACAAAAAUUUGUAAGUCUAUAAGUUACUUUGACUAGCAAUGUUUCCGUGCGUUGCUACGGAACAACAAAAUAAAAAGAUACGCUCAAGAUAUAUCUACUUUCUAAGAAGACAACAAUGCAUUCUUUCCGAAAUUUAUAUAACACCACAUAGUCAAAAAAAAAAUUUGACUGAAAUGCUCGGCUAUGUAGGAUCCCACACUUAAGUUAAACUUUAACCGAUUGCAACAUUGAGGAGAUAAUUUCCCACCCCCGCGUUGCCACGAACAAUAAAAUACAUGAUCUAGGCCG